UACGUAGGGGCUAGCGUUAUCCGGAAUUACUGGGCGUAAAGGGUGCGUAGGUGGUUUCUUAAGUCAGAGGUGAAAGGCUACGGCUCAACCGUAGUAAGCCUUUGAAACUGGGAAACUUGAGUGCAGGAGAGGAGAGUGGAAUUCCUAGUGUAGCGGUGAAAUGCGUAGAUAUUAGGAGGAACACCAGUUGCGAAGGCGGCUCUCUGGACUGUAACUGACACUGAGGCACGAAAGCGUGGGGAGCAAACAGGAUUAGAUACCCCGGUAGUCCCUGAGCGGGCU
rnacentral:rRNA from 1 species